AGGACGAACGCUGGCGGCGUGCUUAAUACAUGCAAGUCGAGCGAGAAGCCACCGCUCCGUAAGGAGUGGUGGUGGAAAGCGGCGAACGGGUGAGUAACACGUGGGUAAUGUGCCCUGAACAUCGGGAUAACAGCGGGAAACCGCUGCUAAUACCGAAUAACCCUGCAAUGUCGCAUGACGAAGCAGGCAAAUGUUCCGGCGGUUCAGGAUCAGCCCGCGGUGUAUCAGCUUGUUGGUGGGUAACGGCUACCAAGGUCUUUGACGCAUAGCUGGCGUGAGAGCGCGACCAGCCACACUGGGACUGAGACACGGCCCAGACCUCCGUACGGGAGGCAGCAGGUAGGGAAUCGUUGCGCAAGUGGGCGAAAGCCGUGACGCAGGCGACGCCGCGUGGAGGAUGGACGGUCGUUACGGUACGUAACCUCUUCAGCGAGGACG
rnacentral:rRNA from 1 species